rnacentral:rRNA from 1 species
CGGCUCAGUAACACGUAGUCAACAUGCCCAGAGGACGUGGAUAACCUCGGGAAACUGAGUCUAAACCGCGAUAAGUGAGGAUUUCUGGAAUGGUUCCUGACUAAAAUCUAUAUGGCCUCUGGAUUGGACUGCGGCCGAUCAGGCUGUUGGUGAGGUAAUGGCCCACCAAACCUGUAACCGGUACGGGCUCUGAGAGGAGGAGCCCGGAGAUGGGCACUGAGACAAGGGCCCAGGCCCUAUGGGGCGCAGCAGGCGCGAAACCUCUGCAAUAGGCGAAAGCCUGACAGGGUUACUCUGAGUGACUUUCGCUAAGAAAGUCUUUUGGCACCUCUAAAAAGGGUGCAGAAUAAGGGGUGGGCAAGUCUGGUGUCAGCCGCCGCGGUAAUACCAGCACCCCGAGUGGUCGGGACGAUUAUUGGGCCUAAAGCAUCCGUAGCCGGUUCUGCAAGUCCCCCGUUAAAUCCAGCUGCUCAACAGAUGGGCCGCGGAGGAUACUACAGAGCUAGGAGGCAGGAGAGGCAAGCGGUACUCAAUGGGUAGGGGUAAAAUCCGUUGAUCCAUUGAAGACCACCAGUGGCGAAGGCGGCUUGCCAGAAUGCGCUCGACGGUGAGGGAUGAAAGCUGGGGGAGCAAACCGGAUUAGAUACCCGGGUAGUCCCAGCCGUAAACGAUGCAGACUCGGUGAUGGGUUGGCUUCGCGC